ACAUUUCAUAAACUAUAAAAUGAAUCUGCUGUGCUAAUUGUUCUGCUCUAAGGCUUUAAGGGAAUGCCAAACAUGAACAGUUGAGUCUGGACCAAUUUUGACUGAGGUGUUCUGAUCAAGGUUUUGGCACUUUUGCAGGAUAUGUGUUUAAUAGUCAAAAUGUUGAUCUGUCAUUAUCCUGUGGAUUAUUCAUUGCCUGUAGAAUUAGCCUAGUAAUCUUUUUCUUUCCCAUUCUACUAUUUACUGUUACAGUGCUAUUCCAUUUCCAGAAUUGCCAGUUAACAUCUUAAUCCGUCUGUCAAUUAGUUGCUGACUGAUUUAGGAAACAGUGUAAAAAUGCCUGAAGUGAAUGGGGUUGAAAAUCUGCAAAUAAUGUAGGAAGGAGCUAUGCAGUAUCUUCACAUUACAAAAUAUUUACUUAACAACCAUCUUGAAAGUGUAUUCUUUAGGAAACAGCUACUCCAAACAGCCUUCCCUGGUCAUGGCUUAAAAUUAAAACAAAACAAAGUAAAACCAUAAAAGUGGAAACAAGCCAUGCCAUUAACUCUCCUUCAUUUAUACUAUACAGGGUCCAGCCUUGUUCAAUGUAAUGCAAGUGUUUAUUCCUCUGGAAAGAUGGACUGCCAAGAAUAACAACUUGAUGAAUGAUGAUUAGCAGUAAAUACAAAAUGUUUAUCUCAUGUUAUGUAUGGAGCCCUGAAGAAGUCAUGACAAUACUGAGUUGUUGACUUGACUAGCUUAAACAGACAUAAAUGUCUCAGAUGGAGGAGGUGGUGCUGUGGAGAAGAUGAAAUAACGAAUUUAAGAUGCAGCCUCUUUUCAGACAUACACUAAGGGUGAUCAUAACCAUGAUCUGCUUUUCCAUUUGCAGGACAUUGCUAUCUGAACACACUGUGGGAAGCGAGGCUUGAGGAACCAUAUAUCCAUGACUAAAGGUAUCCAGAAACACACUGAGAUGUGGAAACUGUCUAGUAUAUAACGUCUAAAUACAUUGGAGUCAGCUUCUCACCAUUCAUUCUGGGAUGUGAUGAUAAAAGAAGGAAAUGAGAAAUAGAAAUACAGGCACUGAAAGGAAAGCUCAGAGCAGACUGAGAGGGAAGUAUCUGUACAUCCUGACUAUUAAA